rnacentral:pre_miRNA from 1 species
UCUUAAUUUCACACACUCUCUCACCGGUCAGAUAAACGAGAGAGAGUGUGUGAAAUGAAGAGA